UACAGGGGGGGCAAGCGUUGUUCGGAAUUACUGGCGUAAAGGCUCGUAGGUGGCCAACUAAGUCAGACGUGAAAUCCCUCAGCUUAACUGGGGAACUGCGUCUGAUACUGGAUGGCUUGAGUUUGGGAGAGGGAUGCGGAAUUCCAGGUGUAGCGGUGAAAUGCGUAGAUAUCUGGAGGAACACCGGUGGCGAAGGCGGCAUCCUGGACCAAUACUGACACUGAGGAGCGAAAGCCAGGGGAGCAAACGGG
rnacentral:rRNA from 1 species